GGACGAAUGGUCGGCAUUUUUUCGUACCAACUCAUGACGUCAGAGGGGCAACCCAGUAUCAGCCAAUGGAUACGCCGUAAUUGGUGGACCACAAUAGUGCAUACAUCACUGGAUAACUACACGCUUUAACGGGAUACCCUAAGUACAUGUAUCAUGGCCGUGUGUUUUGUAUAUAAUGUUUAUUCAUCAGAAAUAUACAUUCAUCCAUGGAAUAUUUAGUUAAUACCGGUGUACACCGUGUUACUACCAUACCCAGCUCUUUUGAGGACAUUCAGUUUAUAGAAUUUGGCAGUUCCUGUUGGAGCGUUGCUAGUAGCUUCGUGAAGUGUUAGAUGUUCUCGCAACAACUGACUGUCAUAAUAAUGUUUCAGUUGUGUACUUUGGAAAGGAUAUCGAAGAUUUUGUGGACAGUCUCAAGGACAAGUAUCCAUAUACAUUCAGUGGCAUACACAUCACUGUAAAUGGCUUCCCUACGCAGGCCAAAGGGAAAAGAAAACCGCCAUGUGAUUAUACAAGAUUAGUGACUUAUUUGAAUUGUAUCAAAACCAAUGGAUGUACUGCAACGACAGAUGACAGGGAGUUGCUAGCAUGUGUGCUUUCAAACUGCGUCAAUCAACUUCAAAAUAUAUUUCAGAAAGACAGUCAGGAAUGCCUGACUUGUAUGGCUAUGUCUACGGCUAAUAUCAUGGAGUAAGUUAUAAUACCACCCAAAACUGCAUGUCAAGUCUACCUAUAAGAAGCGCAACGAAUCUGAUUAGUACAAAUUAGUUUUAAAAAAUCAAGUACAUGUCAUACAUAUCUUUAUAUA